UGGGGAAUAUUGCACAAUGGGGGAAACCCUGAUGCAGCGACGCCGCGUGCGGGAUGAAGGCCUUCGGGUUGUAAACCGCUUUCAGCAGGGACGAGGCCUUAUGGUGACGGUACCUGCAGAAGAAGCUCCGGCUAAAUACGUGCCAGCAGCCGCGGUAAUACGUAUGGAGCAAGCGUUAUCCGGAUUCAUUGGGCGUAAAGCGCUCGUAGGCGGUCUGUUAGGUCGGCAAGUUAAAUCCGGGGGCUCAACCCCCGUCCGCUUCCGAUACCGGCAGACUUGAGUUUGGUAGGGGAAGGUGGAAUUCCUAGUGUAGCGGUGGAAUGCGCAGAUAUUAGGAAGAACACCGGUGGCGAAGGCGGCCUUCUGGGCCAUAACUGACGCUGAGGAGCGAAAGCUAGGGGAGCGAACAGG
rnacentral:rRNA from 1 species